rnacentral:rRNA from 1 species
GUGGGGAAUCUUCCGCAAUGGACGAAAGUCUGACGGAGCAACGCCGCGUGAGUGAUGAAGGUCUUCGGAUUGUAAAGCUCUGUUAAUCGGGACGAAAGAGCCUAGUGUGAAUAAUGCUAGGAAGUGACGGUACCGGAAUAGAAAGCCACGGCUAACUACGUGCCAGCAGCCGCGGUAAUACGUAGGUGGCAAGCGUUGUCCGGAAUUAUUGGGCGUAAAGCGCGCGCAGGCGGAUCUGCCAGUCUGUCUUAAAAGUUCGGGGCUUAACCCCGUGAUGGGAUGGAAACUACAGAUCUAGAGUAUCGGAGAGGAAAGUGGAAUUCCUAGUGUAGCGGUGAAAUGCGUAGAUAUAGGAAGAACACCAGUGGCGAAGGCGACUUUCUGGACGAAAACUGACGCUGAGGCGCGAAAGCCAGGGGAGCGAACGGGAUUAGAUACCCUUGUAGUCC